rnacentral:rRNA from 1 species
GUGGGGAAUAUUGGACAAUGGGCGAAAGCCUGAUCCAGCCAUGCCGCGUGUGUGAAGAAGGUCUUCGGAUUGUAAAGCACUUUAAGUUGGGAGGAAGGGCAGUAAGUUAAUACCUUGCUGUUUUGACGUUACCAACAGAAUAAGCACCGGCUAACUUCGUGCCAGCAGCCGCGGUAAUACGAAGGGUGCAAGCGUUAAUCGGAAUUACUGGGCGUAAAGCGCGCGUAGGUGGUUCAGCAAGUUGGAGGUGAAAUCCCCGGGCUCAACCUGGGAACUGCCUCCAAAACUACUGAGCUAGAGUACGGUAGAGGGUAGUGGAAUUUCCUGUGUAGCGGUGAAAUGCGUAGAUAUAGGAAGGAACACCAGUGGCGAAGGCGACUACCUGGACUGAUACUGACACUGAGGUGCGAAAGCGUGGGGAGCAAACAGGAUUAGAUCCCGGGUAGUCC